GGAGAGGGAAGCGAGCCACAGCCACGGAGCGUACGUGCGCCACGCAGGACGAGAAGUCAGGCUGAGAGCGGGCGGAAGCACAGCCGGCCGGGGCGGAGCCAGGGGGCUUGCGGAUGUUGUCAUGGAAACGCUUGCAGGCCCCUGGAGAGGCUGACUCAGGAGUUGGUCAUGGACCUCAGUGUUUCUGAGGAAAACUGAAGCAGAAACCGAAAAAGACCCACUGGUAGCUGAAAACCUG